AGAGUUUGAUCAUGGCUCAGGAUGAACGCUGGCGGUAUGCUUAACACAUGCAAGUCGAACGGGACCCUCCGGGGUUCAGUGGCGGACGGGUGAGUAACGCGUGAGAAUCUGGCUCCAGGUUCGGGACAACCACUGGAAACGGUGGCUAAUACCGGAUGUGCCCUUGGGUGAAAGAUUAAUUGCCUGGAGAUGAGCUCGCGUCUGAUUAGCUAGUUGGUGGGGUAAAGGCUUACCAAGGCGACGAUCAGUAGCUGGUCUGAGAGGACGAUCAGCCACACUGGGACUGAGACACGGCCCAGACUCCUACGGGAGGCAGCAGUGGGGAAUUUUCCGCAAUGGGCGAAAGCCUGACGGAGCAAUACCGCGUGAGGGAGGAAGGCUCUUGGGUUGUAAACCUCUUUUCUCAGGGAAGAACAAAAUGACGGUACCUGAGGAAUCAGCAUCGGCUAACUCCGUGCCAGCAGCCGCGGUAAUACGGAGGAUGCAAGCGUUAUCCGGAAUGAUUGGGCGUAAAGCGUUCGCAGGUGGUGCAGUAAGUCUGCUGUUAAAAGUCGGGGCUCAACCCCGAACCGGCGGUGGAAACUACAGCGCUAGAGUGCGGUAGGGGCAGAGGGAAUUCCUGGUGUAGCGGUGAAAUGCGUAGAGCUCAGGAAGAACACCGGUGGCGAAAGCNCUCUGCUGGACCGAAACUGACACUGAGGGACGAAAGCUAGGGGAGCGAAUGGGAUUAGAUACCCCCGUAGUCC
rnacentral:rRNA from 1 species